CUCAUUUUGCAUUUUUUACCUUUUUUCUUUUUUCAUUCAUUUUUUUCAUUUAUUUUUUCCUUUUUUUGCUUUUUCUUUUUUUCUUUAUUACCCCUCUUUGUGGAUGGGACCGUUGGACUCUUAGAUACAGUUACACAGCAUCAACUUACUAAAUCUGUGGUCAGGGAUCUUUUAGUAACAUGGAGUCUAAUAGGUUUACAAUGUAUUGUUACCAUUAGGAUAUAUUGUUUGAUUUAAUUGUAUAUACUAUCAAUUUUUUUAUUUUGAGUACCGUAUAUACUCGAGUAUAAGCCGAGUUUUUCAGCACACUUUUUGUGCUGAAAAACCCCAACUCGUCUUAUACUCGAGUCACUGUCUGUAUUAUGGCAAUUUACAUUGCCAUAAUACAGACUGGGGGCUGGCAGAGCUGUUACUU